rnacentral:rRNA from 1 species
UACGUAGGUGGCUAGCGUUGUCCGGAUUUACUGGGCGUAAAGCGCGCGCAGGCGGUCGUUCAAGUCGAGUGUGAAAGCCCCCGGCUCAACUGGGGAGGGUCACGCGAUACUGAUCGACUCGAAGGCAGGAGAGGGUAGUGGAAUUCCCGGUGUAGUGGUGAAAUGCGUAGAUAUCGGGAGGAACACCAGUGGCGAAGGCGACUACCUGGCCUGUUCUUGACGCUGAGGCGCGAAAGCUAGGGGAGCAAACGGG